rnacentral:rRNA from 1 species
GUUAUAGGAUCAAGUGACUAAGUGCAUGUGGCGGAUGCCUUGGCGAUCACAGGCGAAGAAAGACGCGGCAGCCUGCGAAAAGCUGCGGGGAGCUGGCAAACGAGCUUUGAUCCGCAGAUAUCUGAAUGGGGGAACCCACACCGCAAGGUGUAUCCGUAACUGAAUACAUAGGUUACGGAGGCGAACGAGGAGAACUGAAACAUCUAAGUAUCCUCAGGAAAAGAAAUCAACCGAGAUUCCGGCAGUAGCGGCGAGCGAACCCGGAGGAGCCCAGCUUUUGAUAGUACGAACUUUAGCCGAAAGGUCCUGGAAAGGCCUGCUAUAGUGGGUGAUAGCCCCGUAGGCGAAAGAGUUGGUACGGUACUAAGGAAGCGAGAAGUAGAGCGGGACACGUGGAAUCCUGUUCGAAGACGGGGGGACCAUCCUCCAAGGCUAAAUACUCGUGAUCGACCGAUAGUGAACCAGUACCGUGAGGGAAAGGCGAAAAGAACCCCGGGAGGGGAGUGAAAUAGAACCUGAAACCGCAUGCAUACAAACAGUAGGAGCCUCGUCAGAGGUGACUGCGUACCUUUUGCAUAAUGGGUCAGCGACUUACAUUCUGUGGCGAGCUUAACCGAAUAGGGGAGGCGCAGCGAAAGCGAGUUCGAAAUGAGCGUUCAGUCGCAGGGUGUAGACCCGAAACCAGAUGAGCUAUCCAUGGCCAGGUUGAAGGUGUGGUAACACACACUGGAGGACCGAACCGACUAGUGUUGCAAAAUUAGCGGAUGAGCUGUGGAUAGGGGUGAAAGGCCAAACAAAUCUGGAGAUAGCUGGUUCUCCCCGAAAACUAUUGAGGUAGUGCCUCGUGUGUCGCUCCAGGGGGUAGAGCACUGUUUUGGCUAGGGGGACAUGGAGUCUUACCAAACCAAGGCAAACUCCGAAUACCUGGAAGCGUAAGCACGGGAGACAGAGCACCGGGUGCUAACGUCCGGACUCAAAAGGGAAACAACCCAGACCGCCGGCUAAGGUCCCAAAUAACAGCUAAGUGGAAAACGAAGUGGAAAGGCCGUGACAACCAGGAAGUUGGCUUAGAAGCAGCCAUCCUUCAAAGAAAGCGUAAUAGCUCACUGGUCGAGUCCUUCUGCGCGGAAGAUGUAACGGGGCUAAGCUGUUAACCGAAGCCGCGGAUGCGCUGGUUAUCCAGUGCGUGGUAGGGGAGCGUUCUGUAAGUCUGCGAAGGCGGUUCGAGAGGACUGCUGGAGAUAUCAGAAGUGCGAAUGCUGACAUGAGUAACGUUAAAGCAGGUGAAAAGCCUGCUCGCCGUAAGCCCAAGGAUUCCUGCUCUACGUUCAUCGGAGCAGGGUGAGUCGGCUCCUAAGGUCAGGCCGAAAGGCGUAGCCGAUGGGAAUCAGGUUAAUAUUCCUGAACCUGCGUCAGAUGCGAUGGGGGGACGGAGCAUGGAAGAUCAUCCGGGUGUUGGAAGUCCCGGUUGUUUAGCGUAGGAGGUCUGCAGGCAAAUCCGCAGACGCAUCUCCAAGGCAAAGACACGUGCCGCCACGGCGGCGAAGUGAUCGGAAGUGCUUCCAAGAAAAGCCUCUAAGCUUCAGUCUGAUGCGGACCGUACCGCAAACCGACACUGGUGGGCGAGCUGAAUAUGCUCAGGCGCUUGAGAGAACUCGGGAGAAGGAACUCGGCAAAUUGACACCGUAACUUCGGAAGAAGGUGUGCCGUAGUACCGUGAGAGGAGAGACACCUUGAGCGGGAAACGGUCUCAGAGAAUAGGUGGCUGCGACUGUUUAUUAAAAACACAGCACUCUGCAAAGUCGAAAGACGACGUAUAGGGUGUGAUGCCUGCCCGGUGCUGGAAGAUUAAUUGAUGGGGUGAGAGCCCUUGAUCGAAGUCCCAGUAAACGGCGGCCGUAACUAUAACGGUCCUAAGGUAGCGAAAUUCCUUGUCGGGUAAGUUCCGACCUGCACGAAUGGCAUAACGAUGGCCACACUGUCUCCUCCCGAGACUCAGUGAAGUUGAAAUGUUUGUGAUGAUGCAAUCUACCCGCGGCUAGACGGAAAGACCCCAUGAACCUUUACUGCAGCUUUGUAUUGAACUGUGAACCGAUUUGUGUAGGAUAGGUGGGAGGCAGAGAAGAGGCCACGCCAGUGGUCUUGGAGCCGACCUUGAAAUACCACCCUGAUUUGUUUGCGGUUCUAACCACGGACAGUGAUCCUGUCUUGGGACCGUGCAUGGUAGGCAGUUUGACUGGGGCGGUCUCCUCCUAAAGGGUAACGGAGGAGUACGAAGGUACGCUAGGUACGGUCGGAAAUCGUGCUGAUAGUGCAAUGGCAAAAGCGUGCUUGACUGCGAGAGCAACAACUCGAGCAGAUGCGAAAGCAGGUCAUAGUGAUCCGGUGGCUCUGAAUGGAAGGGCCAUCGCUCAACGGAUAAAAGGUACUCUGGGGAUAACAGGCUGAUACCGCCCAAGAGUUCAUAUCGACGGCGGUGUUUGGCACCUCGAUGUCGGCUCAUCUCAUCCUGGGGCUGUAGUCGGUCCCAAGGGUAUGGCUGUUCGCCAUUUAAAGAGGUACGUGAGCUGGGUUUAAAACGUCGUGAGACAGUUUGGUCCCUAUCUGCCGUGGGCGUUGGAAGAUUGACGGGGGCUGCUCCUAGUACGAGAGGACCGGAGUGGACGCACCUCUGGUGUACCGGUUGUCACGCCAGUGGCAUUGCCGGGUAGCUAAGUGCGGAAGAGAUAACCGCUGAAAGCAUCUAAGCGGGAAACUUGCCUGAAGAUGAGUCUUCCCGGAGGUUGAACCUCCCUCAAGAGUCGUCCGAGACCAGGACGUCGAUAGGUCAGGUGUGUAAGCGCUGUAAGGCGUUGAGCUAACUGAUACUAAUUGCUCGUGAGGCUUGAUCCUAUAACC